GCAAAGCACUCCUACGGGAGGCAGCAGUGGGGAAUAUUGCACAAUGGGCGCAAGCCUGAUGCAGCCAUGCCGCGUGUAUGAAGAAGGCCUUCGGGUUGUAAAGUACUUUCAGCAGUGAGGAAGGUGGGUAUGUUAAUAGCAUAUUCAUUUGACGUUAGCUGCAGAAGAAGCACCGGGCUAAACUCCGUGCCAGCAGCCGCGGUAAUACGGAGGGUGCGAGCGUUAAUCGGAAUUACUGGGCGUAAAGCGCAUGCAGGUGGUUUGUUAAGUCAGAUGUGAAAGCCCGGGGCUCAACCUCGGAAUUGCAUUUGAAACUGGCAAACUAGAGUACUGUAGAGGGGGUAGAAUUUCAGGUGUAGCGGUGAAAAUGCGUAGAGAUCUGAAGGAAUACCGGUGGCGAAGGCGGCCCCCUGGACAGAUACUGACACUCAGAUGCGAAAGCGUGGGGAGCAAACAGGAUUAGAUACCCUGGUAG
rnacentral:rRNA from 1 species